AGUGAACGCUGGCGGUAGGCCUAACACAUGCAAGUCGAACGGCAGCACAGUAAGAGCUUGCUCUUACGGGUGGCGAGUGGCGGACGGGUGAGGAAUACAUCGGAAUCUACUUUUUCGUGGGGGAUAACGUAGGGAAACUUACGCUAAUACCGCAUACGACCUACGGGUGAAAGCAGGGGAUCUUCGGACCUUGCGCGAUUGAAUGAGCCGAUGUCGGAUUAGCUAGUUAGCGGGGUAAAGGCCCACCAAGGCGACGAUCCGUAGCUGGUCUGAGAGGAUGAUCAGCUACACUGGAACUGAGACACGGUCCAGACUCCUACGGGAGGCAGCAGUGGGGAAUAUUGGACAAUGGGCGCAAGCCUGAUCCAGCCAUACCGCGUGGGUGAAGAAGGCCUUCGGGUUGUAAAGCCCUUUUGUUGGGAAAGAAAAGCAGCAGGUUAAUACCCCGCUGUUCUGACGGUACCCAAAGAAUAAGCACCGGCUAACUUCGUG
rnacentral:rRNA from 1 species